CCUACGGGAGGCAGCAGUGGGGAAUAUUGCACAAUGGGGGAAACCCUGAUGCAGCGACGCCGCGUGAGUGAAGAAGUAUUUCGGUACGUAAAGCUCUAUCAGCAGGGAAGAAAAUGACGGUACCUGACUAAGAAGCCCCGGCUAACUACGUGCCAGCAGCCGCGGUACUACUGAGGGGGCAAGCGUUAUCCGGAUUUACUGGGUGUAAAGGAAGCGUAGGCGGCGGCCCAAGUCUGGAGGGUAAGCCGAGGGCUUAAACAUGGAACUGCUUUGGAAAAUGGGCAGCUGGAGUGCAGGAGAGGUAAGCGGAAUUCCUAGUGUAGCUGUGAAAUGCGUAGAUAUUAGGAGGAACACCAGUGGCGAAGGCGGCUUACUGGACUGUAACUGACGUUGAGGCUCGAAAGCGUGGGGAGCAAACAGGAUUAGAUACCCUUGUAGUC
rnacentral:rRNA from 1 species